rnacentral:lncRNA from 1 species
UCUCGAGUCUCAACUACCUACUUAAACUAGUCAUUCAUACUCAAGCUAUCAAAUGAGUUGACAUUUUACUAUUUUAGUUAUAACUUGUUAUUGGUAUCGACGAACUUCAAAGAAAAGUAUAUUUGCUCCUUUGCUGCAACUUGUAAUUGGUAUUGACAAACUUCAAAUGAAAGUGUCUUUGCUCCUUUGCUGCUUCUACUUCUUUUUCUCCUUCUUGUACACCGGCUUCCAAAAAUGAUUGUCGAACUGUAACAUAUCAACCUCUGUAAUUUUUAUAUUGUUGGCAUAGCAAAUAAUAAAAUUCAAUCACCAUUAAUUGGUUAAUAAAACAAGAAAGUACAAUACGAACGAAUCUUUCUUUAUUGUACUUCCAUCCGCUAAACUUGGUAGAAAUGAUGGCUUGCAAGAGCAAUUUAUAGCAGUAAUUAUCACAAAUAACAUCUAGAAGACCGUAACAACAAAAUAUAAUUGAACAAAAAUGAUUUUUCCUAAAAUGCACUGGAAAACAAUUCAUAUCUAGUUUUAAAGGUAGAACUGUGCAUGUUCAAACUUCAUAUUCAUCUAUGUCUGAAGUUGUAACUUCACCCCAAUUUUUCAACUCUAAUGUGUGAACACACACACAUGUAUGUAUAUGAAUAUAUAUAUAUAUAUGUGUGUGUGUGUGUGUGUGUGUGUGGUGUUGUUGAUUGUAUGUACUAUGUAGGUAUAUAUAUAUGUGUGUGUGUGGUGUUGUUGGGUGUAUGUACUAUGUAGGUAUAUAUAUGUAUGGGUGUGUGUGGUGUUGUUGGUUGUAUGUACUAUGUAGGUAUAUAUAUGUGUGUGUGUGUGGUGUUGUUGGGUGUAUGUACUAUGUAGGUAUAUAUAUGUAUGGGUGUGUGUGGUGUUGUUGGUUGUAUGUACUAUGUAGGUAUAUAUAUGUAUGGGUGUGUGUGGUGUUGUUGGUUGUAAUAUAACAUAAGUAUCUAUUAUGUAAAAGGAUAAAAAAACACAGGUUUAAUACUAAAUAUGCUUCGUAAAGUAUCACAAUGAACAACAUUAGAAUUCAUUUCAUUGAAUGAUCAAAGUUAAAUAUGCCUUUAAACUUUGUGAGAGGAAUUACCGAUAAGAAGCUAAAUUUACAUAGGAAUAUAUAAUCUCGGAAUUCAAGUAUGGAAUUUUUGGCCCAUGAUUUUCUCUUUACUUGUUUUUUCCACAGUUGAACCGAAAAUACACUUGUCCAUAAAUUUUCUUGCAAAUAAAAGUACGUUCUUUUAUUUUAAAAUACUCACAAUUUAUAUGUUCAAACGCCCUAAAUUCCUGAAGUCUUUUGGAAAAACAAUUUUAAAUAUACUAAAAACAGCAUCUUCUAGCGGGAGGAGGGAUCAAUUGAAAAAUCACCAUUACCGCGUUAUAUAAAACUAAAUACUUAAGCAGGAGUAGCUUCCUAGGAAGCUUCAUCGCAACCUUUUUCUUUCCUAUUUAUAUGUCAAAAAAAUCAGUUACCAUCAUCAUAUCUUAUUCUGUCUGAUUCUUUAAGUGUCAGGAUCAUAGUGAUCUUUCCUAGUAUUUUAUAAUAAAUCCAGAAAAAAAAAAAUAGUGUGCACGUACGGCGAUAGUGCUGAUCAAAGGCAAGGAUGAUGGAGGUGGAUCAUGAAGAUAAUGGAUCAGACAUUGAAGCUCAGCGGAGUUCCCCGCAGUUAAUGAAUGGUGAAUUGGGUAAAUCUAGUUUGAUCAUGAGGAAGUCGGCCAUCAUUUUCCAAUCUACUUACAAGUUCAUUGAAGCUGGAGCAAAAAUAGCGUCUCUUUCACGAGUCUCAUCGUCUUCCUCAUCUUCCAGCACAACCUUUUAUACUCCUCUUCCCAGCUUUAAACAUGGAGUAUGUAUAUAUAAUUUAAAAACAUAUAUAUGUAUAUAGUUUAAGUUAUAUUGAUGAUAUUAAUUAUAUAUAUAUGCUCUAUGUCUAAUCAGGAUGCGGAAGGUGGUGGAGGUGAAAUCCAGGUUGUUGAAAUUGUGGCUGAUGAUAAUACUGUACAAUCAAACAAUGAGAUUGAGCUUCAGCCUGAUGAUCAGAGUACUCAUCAGCAAUGCUUAAAAAUUAGUGAAGAGAUUGUGAAGGAGAAAAAGUUGGAUUGGAGUGAUGCUCAUGAUGUUGACAAGGGAAUUCAUGUUGCAGACAAUUCUGGUCGUUACAUGCUGAUCUAUGCCCAGUUCAUGAUCCGACAACUGAUAUGUAAGGAACCAACUAUUUUGCUCCUUGCAAUUGCUGCAAUAUUGUCGUUUAUCUUUGGAAUCAAAGAAGAAGGUGUGCAUAAUGGUUGGUUUGAAGGAGCACUUCUGGUUGUGAUUAUAUUUGUGAUUGUUUCGUUUAAGCUAGCACGUAAUUGGUACAAAAGACACAUUUGGAAUAAGCAAAAUGAGAACAGAGCAAGGAAGGACCAGCCGUUUAUUUCUGAAACGGACUCCAGUUUUUGUGCCGACUUUGACAAGUUGAACAAUUACAUACAUAUUAGUGGGCUGUCCAUUGGCAUUUUGAUCACUGUGGUGCUGUUCAUUCGCUUUAAAUUGGGCUAUAAAGAUGAUGAGAACGGAUAUAGAUUGGAAACCAAGGAAGAACCAACUGAAAUUGCACGGAUAAUGAAUGCCGUGAAGAAGGUUUUGACAGAAUCAAAGGGAGCAGUGAGAGUUAUGAUAACUUCUCUUGGUAUCACACUGGUGGGGAUUACUGAAGGAGUACCAUUUCUUAUUUCAAUUGCAAGGGCAUACUGGUAUCCAAUUUUUGAUGUUAAGAUGGAACCAGUCAACACCAUCUGUAUAGAAAAAAUUAGAUGGUUGAAAGUUACCCAGUUUCUUCUUGACAAAAAAGAUGUUACCAAGAUGUUAGCUGGUGGAAAGAGUUGAAAGUUACCCAGUUUCUUCUUGACAAAAAAGAUGUUACCAAGAUACCGCCACAUGUCUACAGUGUUCUCUCUGAUGGAAUUGGUGUGUCCCCUCUGACUUCUCAAACAGCCUACCACAGAGUAGAAGAAGCAAUACUCUGUUGGGCAGAAAAGAACACGGGUAUGCAGAGAGACACUUUGGAUAAGCAGUUCACCAUAGUGAAGAACAACGAUGAUGAGAUGAAUCCUUUUGAAGGACCUUGUAAAGUAGUCAUAGAGAAAAAUGGAGAUAAUGGGAAAGAGUACUAUUCAUAUUUCAAGGGUCCUACUGAUUCAAUAUUGCCAAUGUGUUCAAGUUACUAUGACUUGACGGGUCAAGUGCAGGAUUUGGAUGACGAAACAAAGAGUGACAUUGUUCAAACUAACAACAACAACAACAUGAACGUAGUUGCAUUUGCCUUCAAACACAGUCAGGACGUUGUUGAACUUGAUGAAAAUGGCCUAACAUUCAUUGGUAUGUUUGUCUUAGAAUAUACUUUCAAUCUAGACAACACGAGGAAAGCAAUUGCGAUUCUGAAAGAAGGCGGAGUGAAGAUGAUAUUUGCCUCAGAAGAAGAUGUUGAAGUGCUUCGUACCAUUGUUGAUGAAACAGGAUUGCUCAACUCACAUGAAGCUCUAGUAGUUAGGGGUGAAGAUGCUACAAAGGAAAAUGUUGAUAAAAUGUGCAUUAUGGGAAAUUCCUCUCCCGCAUGCAUGCUUCUUUUAAUAGAGCAAUUGAAGAAAAGAGGAGAAGUUGUGGCUGUGGUAGGAGAACAAGCAUCUGAAAGUAAUGUGGUUCUUGAAGCAGCUCAUUUUGGCCUGCCUGUGGUGACUAACUGGCCUGAAACUAUAACUUAUGUGAUUAACAGCAUCAAGGGAGGAAGAAUUGUUGUGAGUAUAUGAGGCAGUUCAUCCAAGUUGAGAUAAUCUUUGCAAUCAGUAGCUUAUUAAUAAACUUCAUACUGGUUAUAUUAGACGGAGAUGGUCCGUUAACAGUCAUUCAGUUGGUAUGGGUUAACCUUCUUGUAAAAUUUAUUGGAGGGCCAGCUUUGCUAAUUACUCAGCAGGCCACAAGACAACUAAGGGAUGAGCUUUCUAUCAGACCAAGAAAACUGCCAAUUACCAAGUGCAUGUUGAGAAACAUACUUCUUCAAGUUUCUUAUCAGACUGGUAUUUUUGUAUUCCUUCAACACAGAGGAAGUGCAAUACUGGGGAUCACUCCAAAAGUUAACAGAUCUAUAGUCUUUAACGGGUUCGCUCUGUGCCAGCUUUUUAACAUAUUCAGUGCAAGGGAUUUGGAGCAGAGGAAUUAUUUCAAAGGUCUCGGUCAAAAUUACUUGUUUUGGGCAUUGUCUGGGCUCUAUCUUGUGUUGCAGUUUGGAUUCAUUGAAUUAGAGGCUUUCUUGUUUAGCAACACGGCACGACUGAAUUGGAAGCAAUGGGCUGAAUCCAUUUUAAUUGGAGUUGUUACAUGGUUGCUUGAUGUGAUAGUAAAAUGGGCAUCACAACACAUAAAGAUAGACACAUAUUGUGAUUGUGGAGUUCUUCACCUAGCUAGAAACUGGUUACAGUGUUGGUUUAUGAGGAUCAAUUGCUGUUACUGUGGACCAAGAAGUACACCAAAUCCAACUCUUGCUUCCUUGGAUUCUUCAAGAUACACUAGCGGAAAGGUAUUAUAAAAAUUUGUCCAUACAGCCUAAUUACAGUACAGUUCAAUCAACAGUCUUUCCUAAAAUUUUGGAUUCAAGUUGUAGUUGUUGUUCGUUUGCAGGGCUGGAUAACAAGUAUUACACGUCGUGUUAAACCAACCAAGCAUAGAGCUAAUACUUUGAUGGAUUAAUCAUAUGUUUCAGUAGCUUCAAUUUUUAGUACAUAGUUUCCUCUGUUUUCUAUAGAAGGUUAGAUAUAGUUGGAGCAACACUAAAGUUGUCUCAAUGUGACCGGUAGGUUAUGGGUUAGAGCAGUUAUGAAAUCAGCCUUUGAUGCUUGUAUGAGGGUAGGUUGCCUACAUCACACCCUUCAAGGGUCUCAGGCCUACGUCAAUGAGGGAUGAUUAGUGCACUAGGCUAUCCUUUUUAGUUAAUUUAUGUUAAUUAAUUUCAUCAAGUUUUUCGGUUCUUGUUCUUGUUCCUCUUCACUUUUAACUAAAUUCAAGAAUGUAAACUUAUUAUAUAGUACUACUCCCUCAAUCCCUUUGUAUGUCACAUUUUUAAUUUUUUACUUUGUAUUUGUAUUAAAAAAUGAAGUAACUUUAUCCUUAUUUAAUGUUUUCUUAAAUCAACUCUAUAAUAAAUGAUGAAUACAUUUUCAAGAUUAAUUAACUAUUCCAUCAAGGGUAUAAUAGGAAAAAUAUGAUAAAUUUAUGCAUAAAUUUUAUAAAAUGACAAGUAUUGUGGUCCAGCUAUUUAUAGAAAGGAAUGUCAUAUAAAAAUGGACGGAGGGAGUAAUAUACGUAGAAAGCAAGAAUUUUAUGAAUUUCAAACACAGCGAAGUUUGCUCAAAAUCAUAAAGCAAACUAGUGAGUACACAUUCUACUAAUUAAUUGGCUUGUUCAAGAAGAUAAAUAUUUCCAAUAUCAUAUAGUAUAUGCAAAAAUAUAACUUAAUUACCUCGAUCUUGUUUUUCUCAAACUUGGUGAAAUGUAAUAGACAAAGCUCUUGUUGAGGAGAAACUGACAAGCCGGGAAUGCCAUUGGAAGAGACUUUUCUUCAGCGAAGUCAACUGCCUGUGGUCGUUUCUUUACUAUAUAAAAAAUAAAAAACAAACCUCACAAAUAUCCUAACAUGGAUUUUAUAAGAAUAUUUUUCUUUAAUUUUGGACACAUUUGUCUUUUAUCAAACGUGUCUUCAAUAAAUAUUCAUGUGUGAGUAGGUAAUGUAGAAAUGUUACUUUAUCUAUUUCAAUUUAUGUUACUAAAAACUUUUUAGUUAGUUCUGAAAAUAAUAAUAGUUACUUUUUUUAUAGAUAUUUUGAAAUAAUUUAACUUCUAAAUUUUUUUUUUAAAAAAGAGAGAGAAUAAUUUAUAAUCAUAGAAAUAUGUAUGAUUAACUUUAAAAGUCAUUUGAAAUUCAUUUGUGAGUAGAUAAUCUUGAAAAGGUUACCAUAAGGAAUUUGUUACUCCAUCUAUUACAAUUUAUUAAUGUUACAAUUUUUUUAAGCUAGACCUGAAAAUAAUAAUAGUAUUGAUACAAAAAUUUAAGUUGAAUGAUUUUAUAGAUAUAAAAGCUUAAUUGAGUGGGUUUUUUGAUACAAAAUAAAGUUCAAUGAUUUUGCUAGACAAAUUCUUGAAGUUGAGUGAACUUUUGAGAUAUUAACUCUAGAAAACAUGUGACUACUCGUGUACAUUCAAAAUUAAUGGACAUAAAUAAGAACUAGAGCCAAGUUAAAGGAUACACUUAUAUAUUAUAUCAUUUGAUAAAAGUAAUUUUUAUUUCCGAAGUGAAAAAUAAUAUAUAAUUUUUUUUAUUUUAUUAAUUUAUAAAGUCUUCUCGAAAACAUUUUCUAACAUACCAAAAAGCAGCAUCUUCUAUAACAAAUUUUUUGUGUGUGUGUGGUGAUGGUGAGAUCAAUUUAAAAAUUGUCAAUAUUAACGCGUUAUAAAAAUUAAAGAGUGUAAGGGAAAAUUUGAAUUUGAACAAGAUGGGUGUUCACAUUCCGCAACACAAAGCUGAGGCCGGGAGUGAAUAACUAACCACUUGAGCAUUGGAGUACUGCAUGUCUAUUUGAACGGGUCACGAUUUAAUUCAUUUUCAAUUUCAGUAGUGCUGAUCAAAGCUAGGAUGAUGGAUGAAGAUAAUGGAUCAGACAUUGAAGCUCAGGGGAGUUCCCCGCUGCUAAUGAAUGGUAAUUCUACGUUGAUCAUGAGGAGGUUGGCUCUCAUUCUCCGAUCUACUUACAACUUCCAUUGAAGCUGGAGCAAGAAUACCAUCUCUUUCACGAGUCUCAUCGUCUACCUUAUCCUCCACCACAACCUUUUAUACUCCUCUUCCCUAAGUAUAUAAACAAAUGUCUUUAUCACUACUAUAUAUAUACACACACGUAGUUGUUAAUUAUACAUGCUCUCCGUCUAAUUAGGAUGCAGAAGGUGGUGAAGAUGAAAUCCAGGUUGUUGAAAUUGUGGCUGAUGAUAAUACUGUACAAUCAAACAAUGAUCACGUCGACAUUGAUCAAAGUACUCAUCAGCAAUGCCUACAAAUUAGUGAUUGUUUUGUUUAAGUUUGCACGAAAUAGGUACAAAAGACACCUUUGGAAGAAGCAAAAAGAUAACAAAGAAACGAAGAAUUACCCCCUGUUGAUUUCUGAAACGGACUCCAGCUUUUGUGCCUGUUUUGACAAGUUGAACAAUUAUAUACAUAUUAGUGGGUUGUUGAUUGGCAUUUUGAUCACUGUGGUGCUGUUCAUUCGCUUUAAAAUUGAGCCAUAAAGAUGACGAAAAUGGAUAUAGAUUAGAAACCAAGGAAGAACCAGCUGAAAUUGCACAGAAUAAUGAAUGCCGUGAAAAAGGUUUUAACAGAAUCAAAGGGAACAGUAAGAGUUUUGAUAACUUUACUUGGUGUCACACUGGUAGGGAUGACUGAAGGGGUACCAUUUCUUAUUUCAAUUACAAUGGCAUAUUGGUAUCCGAAUUUUGAUGUUAAAAUGGAAUCAGUCAGCACCCUCUGUAUAGAAAAUGUUGGCUGGUUGAAAGAGCAAAAACUGGAAGUUAGUCAGUUUUUCCUUGACAAAAUAAAUGUUACCAAGAUACCGCCAGAUGUCUGCAGUGUUCUCUCUGAUGGAAUUUGUGUGUCCACUCUGACUUCUCAAACAACUGACCAAAGAAUGGAAGAACCAAUACUCUGUUGGGCAGAGAAGAACAUGGGUAUGCAGAGAGACACUUUAGAUCAGCAGUUCAUAAUAGUGAAGGACAAUGAUAGUGAGAUGAAUCCUUUUGAAGGACCUUGUGGAGUUGUCAUAGAGAAAAAUGGAGAUAACGGGAAGGAGUACUAUUCACACUUCAAAGGACGGGCUGAUUCAAUAUUGUCAAUGUGUUCAAGUUACUAUGACAUGAAGGGAGAAGUGCAGGAUUUGGAUGAUGGAACAAAGAGUGACAUUGCUCAAACUAACAACAAGAACAAGAACGUAGUUGCAUUUGCCUUCAAACACACUCAGGACGUUGGUGAACUUGAUGAAAAUGGCCUAACAUUCAUUGGUAUGUUUGUCUUAGAAGAUAAUUUCAAUCUAGACAACAUGAGGCAAGGAAUUGAGAUUCUGAAAGAAGGUGGAGUGAAGAUGAUAUUUGCCUCGGAAGAAGAUGUUGAAGUGCUUCGUGCCAUUGGUGAUGAAACAGGAUUGCUCAACUCACAUAAUGCUCUAGUAGUUAAGCAUGAAGAUGCUACGAAGGAAAAUGUUGAGAAAAUUUGCAUUACGGGAAAUUCCUCUCCCGCACACAAGCUUCUUUUAAUAGAGCAGUUGAAGAAAAGAGGAGAAGUGGUGGCUGUGGUAGGAGAACAAGCAUUUGGAAGUAAUGUGGUUCUUGAAGCAGCUAAUUUUGGCCUGCCUGUGGUGACUAACUGGCCUGAAACUAUAACUUGUGUGAUUAACAGCAUCAAGGGAGGAAGAAUUGUUUGUGAGUAUAUGAGGCAGUUCAUUCAAGUUGAGAUAAUCUUUGCAAUCAGUAGCAUAUUAAUAAACUUCAUACUGGUUAUACUAGACGGAGAUGGCCCGUUAACAGUCAUUCAGUUGGUAUGGGUUAACCUUCUUGUAAAAUUUAUUGGAGGGCCAGCUUUGCUAAUUACUCAUCAGGCCAUAAGACAACUAAGGGAUGAGCUUUCUAUCAGACCAAGAAAACUACCAAUUACCAAGGGCAUGUUGAGAAACAUAAUUUUUCAAGCUUCUUAUCAGACUGUUAUUUUUGUAUGCCUUCCACACAGAGGAAGUGCAAUACUGGGAAUCACUGCGAAAGUUAACAUAUCUACUGUCUUUAACGGGUUUGCUCUGUGCCAGCUUUUUAACAUAUUCAGUGCAAGAGAUUUGGAGCAGAAGAAUUUUUUCAAAGGUCUUGGUUAAAAUUACUUGUUUUGGGCAUUGUCUUUGCUCUAUCUUGUGUUGCAGUUUGGAUUCAUUGAAUUAGAGGCUUUCUUGUUUAGCAACACGGCACGAUUGAAUUGGAAGCAAUGGGCUGAAUCCAUUUUAAUUGGAGCUGUUACAUGGUUGCUUGAUGUGAUAGUAAAAUGGGCAUCACAAUACAUAAAGAUAGACACAUAUUGUGAUUGUGGAGUUCUUCACCUAGCUAGAAACUGGUUCCAGUAUUGGUUUAUGAGGAUCAAUUGCUGUUACUGUGGACCAAGAAGUACACCAAAUCCAACUCUUGCUUCCUUGGAUUCUUCAAGAUCCACUAGCGGAAACGUAUUAUAAAAAUUUGUCCAUACAGCCUAAUUAUAGUACAGUUCAAACAAAAGUUUUUCCUAAAAUUUUGGAUUCAAGUUGUAGCUGUUGUUCUUUUGCAGGGCUGGCUAACAAAUAUCACACGUCGUGUUAAACCAACCAAGCAUAGAGCUAAUACUUUGAUGGAUUAAUCAUAUGUUUCAGUAGCUUCAAUUUUGAGUACAUAUUUUCCACUGUUUUCUAUUAGAUACACUUGGACCAACAAUAAAGUUGUUUCCACGCGACUGGUAGGUUAUGAGUUAGAGAUGUACUGGAAUCAGCCUCUGAUGCUUGUAUCAGGUAGGAUGCCUACAUCAUACCCUUCAAAGGCAUUGACCCUUCCCGGACCUACGUCAAUGAGGGAUGAUUAGUGCAGUAGGCUGUCCUUUUUAGUUAAUUUAUGUGAAUUAAUUUCAUCAAGUUUUUUGGUUCUUGUUCUUGUUCUUCUUUUUACUUUUAAUUUAAAUUCAAGAAUGCAAACUUAUUACUAUAUAGUACUAAUAUACAUAGAAAGCAAGAGUUUCAUGAAUUUCUAACACACAGAAGUUUGCUCAAAAUCAUAAAGCAAACUAGUGAGUACACAUUCUACUAAUUGGCUCGUACAAGAAGAUAAAUAUUUCCAAUAUCAUAAUUCAUAUAUAUGCAAAAAUAUAACUUAAUUACCUCGAUCUUAUUUUUCUCAAACUUGGUGUAAUGUAAUAGACAAAGCUCUUGUUGAGGAGAAAUUGACAAACCAGCAAUGCCAUUGGAAGAGAGUUUUCUUCAGCAAAGUCAACUGCCAGUGGUCGUUUCUUUACUAUAUAAAAAUAUAAAACAAAAUAUAUGGUCCUCACAAAUAUACCAACAUGGAUUUUAUAAGAAUAUUUUUCUUUAAUUUUGGACACAUUUGUCUUUUAUCAAACGUGUCUUCAAUAAAUAUUCAUGCGUGAGUAGGUAAUGUAGAAGAUGUUACUUUAUCUAUUUCAAUUUAUGUUACAAAAACUUUUUUAGUUAGUUCUGAAAAUAAUAAUAGUACUUUUUUUAUAGAUAUUUUGAAAUAAUUUAACUUUUAAAAUUUUUUUUUAAAAAAGAGAGAGAAUAAUUUAUAAUCAUAGAAAUAUGUAUGAUUAACUUUAAGAUCUUAAGUUUAAAAGUCAUUUGAAAUUCAUUUGUGAGUAGAUAGUCUUGAAAAGGUUACCAUAAGGAAUUUGUUACUCCAUCUAUUACAAUUUAUUGAUGUUACAAAUUUUUUUAGCUAGUCCUGAAAAUAAUUAUAGUAUUCCUCCAUUUCAAUUUAUGUGACACAUUUUGGAUUUCGAGAUUCAAACAAGUCUAUCUUUGAUCGUAAAAUUUUCUUAUAUCUUUUAAAUAUUUCGAAUUGUCAAUUAUUGGACUUAUAGUACUUUUUACGUAACUUAUAAAUAUAUAAAUUUCAUUUUAAAAAAGUGAAGAUUUCAUGAGCAAAUUAUUGGUCAAACUUAAAACUAGUUGACUUUCAAAAAACGAAAUGUGUCACAGAGGGAGUACUUUUUCUAUAGAUAUUUUAAGAUAAUUUAACUUAUAAAAAUUAUGUUCUAAGAAAGUAAAAUAAUAAGUAAUUUAUAAUCAUAGAGAAAUUUGACUGUAAAAUUUUUGAAUUUUUUAAAAUUUGAAAAAUAUCAAAAAAAUAUUUUCACUCCAAAUUACUUAUAAAAAUUCAAAAGCAACUUCAAUUUGUAUUCAUGACCACACACUUUUGAGGAGUGUUUAACCAUGAAAAUAGUGAGUAUUUGAUUAUUAUUAUUUUUAUAUUAAUGUGUUCUUUAACUUGAUCUCAGUUUGCAUCUAUGUUCUCCAACUUCUGGUGUGUAUAAGUAGACACUUAAACUAGUAUAAAGUCAAACAAGUAGACGCAAGUGUCCUACAUGACAUAAUACAUUCAAUUUUAAUUCAAUUUGCUCAUUUAACACUGAGAAAAUUAAGUAAUACAAAUAGUUUAAUGAAAGUUGUAAUAUAUUAUAAGCCUAUACACCAACAAACCUUCCCACAGUAGCCUAUUUGAGGAAAUUUUUUAUGGUGGAGGCAUAUCAUAUUGUCACAUUUGUAUGAGGAAAUUUUUUAAUUGAAAAAUUUGUCUCACUCUAUUAUAACUUUUUUCUCUUCUCACUACUCCACCUUCACCUUCUUCCAUUUGCCCCUCGCGCUAACAUAAAAUACUUUUUUAUUUUUUAAAUGUAAUUUACAUAUAUUUCAUUGAGUAAAUUACAAUAAUUUAAUGACAAAAUCAAGUCACAGUGAAAACUAGUUAAUGUCCUUGAAAUGUAUGACAAAAUCAAGGCACAUAGUCAAAAGUAGUACUACUAUGCUUAAAUUAAUAUUUUGUUCUUUUUUCUCUCUAACAUCACUUAUCCAAUCCCUUUCUCUUAUGUAUUUUGUUUCUCCUUUUUUUCAUAAACUUGAUUUUCAUUUGUUAAAAAUCAGAUAGAGAUAAAUACAUUAAUACUAAUUCAAAUAACUAAUAAACAUGUUUAAAAAAGAAUUAAUCAAAAAGUAUGUUCUUGACCUCGUAUAAAUUUGACUGUAUCAUUUGUAGAGUAAAAUAAUGGAGUGAGACCCACUCCAUUAUGCAAUGAAAUUAUGUGUUAAUAAAUUAAAAUUAUUGGAUGUUAGCUGGAGGUGUAAAUGGGAGAAGGUGAGGGUUGAAGAGUAACAAGAUAAAAUGACAAGUUGUAACUGAGUAAGAGCCUGUUUGGCAUUAUUGCUAAAAGCGACUUAUUUUUAGAAGCGUUUUUUAAAAAUAGCUUUUCAGAAAAAUGUUUUUCAAAAAAAGCAAUCUGUGUUUGAAAAAUUCAUUUAAAAGUGUUUUUGAUAAACAAUUUGUGUUUGAAGAGUAAGAAGAUAAAAUGAAGUAACGGAGUAAGACCCACAAUAUAUAUUUUCUCAAUUAAAGAAAUCGCUCACAGCUGUAACUUUUUUUUUUUUUGAGAAUUUACAGCACUAGACAAAGUGUCUAAUAACUUUAAGAAAGGGGUUAGGCCUUUACCACCAUAAUAUUUUUUUCCUCUAGUUGUGUAUGUCGGAAUUAACAAGCAUUUCACUUACUAGAAAAUUUAGCACAAUCUUCAAUCGUUAGUCACAAAGUAACGUCGACAUAUUCAAGUUAUAUUAUUAUAAUUAAAGUAAUGUUAAUUGUUUCUUGUUCAAAUUCUAACAUGUGAAAUAAAUAGGUUGAUGCCUGUUAUAGUUGUCAUCCUCUGUUUGAAGGACUAGAAUAUUAAUUCAAAAUGACUUAAUUUCUGUAAGAUAAUCUUAAGUAUGACCUUUGUUGUAGAUAGUGCUUGGAAGUUGCCUUUGAUUUUCCCCUCUAUGUAACUUGUAUUAGAGAUUCUAUUUCAAGUAUGACAGCCGUACUUAUCACAAAAAUAAGUGUUUUUUUAUUUUAUACUAAAUCCCCAAAAAAUUAGUGUGCUUGUACUGCGACACUAAGUGUAGAAUAUAGCUAGAAUGAUGAAUGAAGAUAAUGGAUCAGACAUUGAAGCUCAGGGGAGUUCGCCGCUGCUAAUGAAUGGUAAUUCUACGUUGAUCAUGAGGAGGUUGGCGCUCUUUCUCCAAUCUACUUACAAGUUCAUUGAAGCUGGAGCAAGAAUACCAUCUCUUUCUCGAGUCUCAUCCUCCACCACAACCUUUUAUACUCCUCUUCCCAGCUUUAAUCUUAAACAUGGAGUAAGUAUAUAAACAAAUGUCUUUAUGGCUAAUAUAUAUACACACAUAGUUAUUAAUUAUAUAUGCUCUCUGUCUAAUUAGGAUGCGGAAUGUGGUGACGAUGAAAUCCAGGUUGUUGAAAUUGUGGCUGAUGAUAAUACUGUACAAUCAAACAAUGAUCACAUCGACAUUGAUCAAAGUACUCAUCAGCAAUGCCUACAAAUUAGUGAAGAGAUUGUGAAGGAGAAGAAGUUGGAUUGGAGUGAUAUUCAUGAUGUUGACAAGGGAAUUCAUGUUGGAGACAAUUCUGGUCGUCACAUGCUGAUCUUCACAGGGUACAUCAUCCGACAAUUGGCAUGCAAGGAACCGACUAUUUUUCUCCUUGCAAUUGCUGCAAUAUUGUCGUUUGCCUUUGGAAUCAAAGAAGAAGGUGUGCAUAAUGGUUGGUUUGAAGGAGCACUUCUGGUUGUGAUUAUACUUGUGAUUGUUUCGUUUAAGUUUGUACGAAAUUGGUACAAAAGACACCUUUGGAAGAAGCAAAAAGAUAACAAAGAAACGAAGAAUUACCCCCUGUUCAUUUCUGAAACGGACCCCAGCUUUUGUGCCUGUUUUGACAAGUUGAACAAUUAUAUACAUAUUAGUGGGUUGUUGAUUGGCAUUUUGAUCACUGUGGUGCUGUUCAUUCGCUUUAAAUUGGGCCAUAAGGAUGACGAAAAUGGAUAUAGAUUAGAAACCAAGGAAGAACCAGCUGAAAUUGCACAGAAUAAUGAAUGCCGUGAAAAAGGUUUUAACAGAAUCAAAGGGAACAGUAAGAGUUCUGAUAACUUUACUUGGUGUCACACUGGUAGGGAUGACUGAAGGGGUACCAUUUCUUAUUUCAAUUACAAUGGCAUAUUGGUAUCCGAAUUUUGAUGUUAAAAUGGAAUCAGUCAGCACCCUAUGUAUAGAAAAUGUUGGCUGGUUGAAAGAGCAAAAACUGGAAGUUAGUCAGUUUUUUCUUGGCAAAAAAAAUGUUACCAAGAUACCGCCAGAUGUCUGCAGUGUUCUCUCAGAUGGAAUUUGUGUGUCCACUCUGACUUCUCAAACAACCGGCCAAAGAAUGGAAGAACCAAUACUCUGUUGGGCAGAGAAGAACAUGGGUAUGCAGAGAGACACUUUAGAUCAGCAGUUCAUAAUAGUGAAGGACAAUGAUAGUGAGAUGAAUCCUUUUGAAGGACCUUGUGGAGUUGUCAUAGAGAAAAAUGGAGAUAACGGGAAGGAGUACUAUUCACACUUCAAAGGACGGGCUGAUUCAAUAUUGUCAAUGUGUUCAAGUUACUAUGACAUGAAGGGAGAAGUGCAGGAUUUGGAUGACGAAACAAAGAGUGAAUUUGCUCAAGCUAACAACAACAAUGUGAACGUAGUUGCAUUUGCCUGCAAACGUACACAGGUUGUUGAACUUGAUGAAAAUGGCCUAACAUUCAUUGGUAUGUUUGUCUUAGAAGAUAAUUUCAAUCUAGACAACAUGAGGCAAGGAAUUGAGAUUCUGAAAGAAGGUGGAGUGAAGAUGAUAUUUGCCUCGGAAGAAGAUGUUGAAGUGCUUCGUGCCAUUGGUGAUGAAACAGGAUUGCUCAACUCACAUGAUGCUCUAGUAGUUAGGGGUGCAGAUGCUACGAAGGAAAAUGUUGAGAAAAUUUGCAUUAUGGGAAAUUCCUCUCCCACACACAAGCUUCUUUUAAUAGAGGAGUUGAAGAAAAGAGAAGUGGUGGCUGUGGUAGGAGAACAAGCAUCUGAAAGUAAUGUGGUUCUUGAAGCAGCUCAUUUUGGCCUGCCUGUGGUGACUAACUGGCCUGAAACUAUAAAUUAUGUGAUUAACAGCAUCAGGGGAGGAAGAAUUGUUUGUGAGAAUCUGAGGCAAUUCAUCCAAGUUGAGGUAAUCCUGGCAAUCAGUAGCUUAUCAAUAAACUUCAUACUGGUUAUAUUAGACGGAGAUGCCCCGUUAACAUUCAUUCAGUUGGUAUGGGUUAACCUUCUUGUUACAUUUAUUGGAGGGCCAGCUUUGCUAAUUACUCAACAGGCCACAAGAGAACUAAGGGAUAAGCUUUCUAUCAGACCAAGAAAACUGCCAAUUACCAAGGGCAUGUUGAGAAACAUACUUCUUCAAGUUUCUUAUCAGACUGGUAUUUUUGUAUUCCUUCAACACAGAGGAAGUGCAAUACUGGGCAUCACUCCAAAAGUUAACAGAUCUAUAGUCUUUAACGGGUUCGCUCUGUGCCAGCUUUUUAACAUAUUCAGUGCAAGGGGAUUUGGAGCAGAGGAAUUAUUUCAAAGGUCUCGGUCAAAAUUACUUGUUUUGGGCAUUGUCUGGGCUCUAUCUUGUGUUGCAGUUUGGAUUCAUUGAAUUAGAGGCUUUCUUGUUUAGCAACACGGCACGACUGAAUUGGAAGCAAUGGGCUGAAUCCAUUUUAAUUGGAGCUGUCACAUGGUUGCUUGAUGUGAUAGUAAAAUGGGCAUCACAAUACAUAAAGAUGGUCAAAUAUUGUGACCCUGGAGUUCUUCACCUAGGUAGAAACUGGUUACAGGAUUGGUUUGCCAGAGUCAAUUGCUGGGACAGUGGACAAAGUAGCACACCAAAUCCAACUCUUGCUUCUUUGGAUUCUCCAAGAUCCUCUAGUGGAAAGGUACUAUACAAAUUUAUCCAUACUGCCUAAUUACAGAAAAUUCAAAGAGUCUUUUCCUUUUAUUCCUAAAACAAUUUGGAUUCAAGUUGUAGUUGUUCUUUUGCAGGGCUGGAUAACAAAUAUAACACGUCGUGUUAAACCAACCAAGGAUAGAACUAAUACUUUGAUGGAUUAAUCAUAUGUUGCAGUAGCUUUAAUUUUUAGUAUAAAUUUUUCACUGUUUUAUUUAUAGGGAUUAGAUACACCUGCAACAACAGUAAAGUUGUCUCCAUGUGACCUAUAGGUUACGGGUUCGAACCAUACUGGAAUCAGCGGACCUAGUCAAUGCAGGAUGAUUAAGGCACUAGGCUACCCUUUUUAGUCUGUAUGGGCUAGUUAAUUUAUGUUAAUUCAUUUCGUCAAGUUUUUGGUUUCUCGUAUGCAUUGGAUGGAGAUAAAAAAAAAAGGUUUGUUCUUGUUCUCUCGUUCUUCUUCUUUUCACUUUUAACUAAAUUCAAGAAUGCAAACUUACUAUAUAGUACUAAUAUAUACAAAAAGCAAGAUUUUUAUGAAUUUCAAACACAUGGAAAUUUGCUCAAAAUCAUAAAGGAAGCUAGUCAGUACACAUGAUUCUACCAAUUGGCUCGUGCAAGAAGAUAAAUAAUUAAAUAUCAUAUAAUAUGCAAAAAUAUAACUUAAUUACCUCGAUGCAUAUUUUCUUCAACUUGCUGUAAUGUAUUAGACAGAGCUCUUGUUGAGGAGAAACUGACAAUCCAGCAAUGCCUCUUUCUUUGUUGUAUUUUCAUCCGCUAAACUUAGUAGAAAAUGCACGAUGACUCGCAAAAAUAUUUUACAGAAAUAAUUAGUACAAAUAAUUAACAUCUAGAAGGUUGGAACAACAAAAAUGUACUUGGACAUUAAAAAAUAAUAAUUCUAAAAUGCAAUGAAACAAUUAACAUCUAGGUUUGAAGGUAGAAUUGUUCAAACUUCACCCAUAUAUCCCCAAUUUUUAACUCCAAUCACACGUAUGAAUAUGUGCGCGUGUUUUUGUUGUUAGUUGUAUUUACUAAUUACUAUGUAGGGAAAAAUGUUUGAAAUAUAUUCAAACUUUGACCGAAAUUGCUGUAAUAAUAUCGAACUUUGGAAAGGAUCGUUUAUCCCUGCACUAUUUAAUAGUGUAUUUUAAAGGUAUAUAUGUGCUCAUGUGAACAUCAUAAAUAUUGCAUAAUUAUAAAUAGUAACGUG